UAGAAUAUAGCUUAACAGGAAAGCACCUCCCUUACACUGAGAAAAUAUUCGUGCAAAUCGAAUUAUUCUAA
rnacentral:tRNA from 1 species